UACGAAGGUGGCAAGCGUUGUUCGGAAUUACUGGGCGUAAAGGGCGCGUAGGCGGCCAUCUAAGUCAGACGUGAAAUCCCCCGGCUUAACCUGGGAACUGCGUCUGAUACUGGACGGCUCGAGUUUGGGAGAGGGAUGUGGAAUUCCAGGUGUAGCGGUGAAAUGCGUAGAUAUCUGGAGGAACACCGGUGGCGAAGGCGGCAUCCUGGACCAACACUGACGCUGAGGCGCGAAAGCUAGGGGAGCAAACGGG
rnacentral:rRNA from 1 species